rnacentral:rRNA from 1 species
AACUAACGAGGAUUCUCCCAGUAACGGCGAGUGAACGGAGAUGAGCCCAGCGCUGAAUCGCUGCCCCGAUGCUGGGGCAGCGAACUGUGGCGUAUAGGUGCGGCUGUGCCCGGUCUUGUUCCGUGCACUCAAAGUCCCCUUGAGCGGGGCCACAGUCCAGAGAAGGUGCUAGACCUGUACGGGUGACGGGACGACCGGAACUGGCCGCACUCUGGAGUCGGGUUGCCUGAGAUCGCAGCCCAAAGUGGGUGGUAAACCUCAUCUAAGGCUAAAUACGGCCACGAGACCGAUAGCAAACAAGUACCGUGAGGGAAAGUUGCAAAGUACUCUGAAAAGAGAGUUCAAGAGGACGUGAAACCGCUGGGAAGGAAGCGAAUAGAGUCGACGAAAUCUGCCAACAUUCAGCCGGUCAGCUCUGCGGCCCAUUGUCACGUUGGUGUGCACGCAGCAAUGCGUGUGCGCCGCGACGUCGCGACUGAUGGUGCACUGCUGGGCAGAGUGUGUGGCACGUGUGACCGGUGCAUUUGAUGGCAGUAUGCGUCGAGAGCCGCGUUCAAGUGUGCACGCCAGGCGUGCGCCCCGGAGAGGACCGUGCAGCGUUCGGCUGGAGCGGAAACCUACGGGGAGUGCGCAGCGGGUGUUGCACACGCUGAUGCGGUCUCCGCACAAUGGCGCAAUCCCGCAACUGCGUCGCCACUGGCACUUCGGGCUGUGUAGCCCUGCCGGCUCGGGUGUGUUUUUGUUGCGGCUUGCCGCAGCGGACGCUCCGGACGGUGUUUGGUGCUCGCAUUCGACGGUGUGUGUGCGGACGACAAUUCGGGGAUUGUGUCUCGGCGUGAGUGUCGAUCACCUAUUCGACCCGUCUUGAAACACGGACCAAGGAGUCUAGCAUAUGCGCGAGUUGUUGGGUGGUAAACCCGUUUGUUUGUGAAAAUCAAAAGCGUAAUGAAAGUGAAGCAGGCAGGCGAGCGCAUCCGUGUGCUCGCUGGCCGUGAGAUGUGAGCCGGUGCUGCGCAUCGUGUGGCGCCGGCGCAACAUUGCCCCGUCUCGGAUUGCUCCCGUGGCUGCGGCGGAUGCAGGCGCUCUUCGCGGGGUGCAGGUGCCCGUUGGCGCCGGGAUGCAAUGGGGCGGAGGUUGAGCGCAUAUGCUGGGACCCGAAAGAUGGUGAACUAUGCCUGAGCAGGAUGAAGCCAGAGGAAACUCUGGUGGAGGUCCGAAGCGAUUCUGACGUGCAAAUCGAUCGUC